UCCCUGAUGGCUUAGUGGUUAGAAUUCCAGGCUUUCCCUGCCAUGACCCAGGUUCAAUCCCUGGUCAGGGAA
rnacentral:tRNA from 1 species